rnacentral:rRNA from 1 species
UACGUAGGUGGCGAGCGUUGUCCGGAUUUAUUGGGCGUAAAGAGCGUGUAGGCGGCCAUGCAGGUCAGCUGUGAAAACUCGAGGCUCAACCUCGAGACGUCGGUUGAAACCGUAUGGCUAGAGUCCGGAAGAGGAGAGUGGAAUUCCCGGUGUAGCGGUGAAAUGCGCAGAUAUCGGGAAGAACACCCGUGGCGAAGGCGGCUCUCUGGGACGGUACUGACGCUGAGACGCGAAAGCGUGGGGAGCGAACAGG